CAGUCGCCACGGGAAUACGUAGGGUGCGAGCGUUAAUCGGAAUUACUGGGCGUAAAGCGUGCGCAGGCGGUUGUGUAAGACAGGUGUGAAAUCCCCGGGCUUAACCUGGGAACUGCGCUUGUGACUGCACAGCUAGAGUAUGGCAGAGGGGGGUGGAAUUCCACGUGUAGCAGUGAAAUGCGUAGAGAUGUGGAGGAAUACCGAUGGCGAAGGCAGCCCCCUGGGCCAAUACUGACGCUCAUGCGCGAAAGCGUGGGGAGCAAACAGGAUUAGAUACCCCUGUAGUCCCUGUCUCUUAUAA
rnacentral:rRNA from 1 species